UACGCAGGGAUGCAAGCGUUAUCCGGAAUUAUUGGGCGUAAAGCGUUUGUAGGCGGGCGAGUGUGUUUAAUGUUAAAUCUUAAAGCUCAACUUUGAAAUUGCGUUAAAAACUGCUUGUCUUGAGUAUGGUAGGGGUAAAGGGAAUUCCCAGUGUAGCGGUGAAAUGCGUAGAUAUUGGGAAGAACACUAAACAGCGAAGGCACUUUACUAGGCUAAUACUGACGCUGAGAAACGAAAGGUAAGGUAGCGAAACGGAUUAGAUACCCGUGUAGUCUUACCCGUAAACUAUGGACACUAAACGGUAAAUUUUUAAUUUACUGUUAAAGCUAACGCGUUAAGUGUCCCGCCUGGGGAGUAUGCUUGCAAAAGUGAAACUCAAAGGAAUUGACGGGGGCCCGCACAAGCGGUGGAGCAUGUGGUUUAAUUCGACGGUACACGAAGAACCUUACCAGGAUUUGACAUGCUAGAUAGUUGCUUGAAAGAGUAACGUGCCGUAAGGAAUCUAGACACAGGUGGUGCAUGGCUGUCGUCAGUUCGUGUUGUGAAAUGUUGGGUUAAGUCCCGCAACGAACGCAACCCUUGUCUUUAGUUAUUUUCUAAAGAGACUGCCUGUAAUAAACAGGAGGAAGGUAAGGAUGAGGUCAAGUCAUCAUGCCCCUUAUGUCCUGGGCUACACACGUGCUACAAUGGGAAAGACAAUGAGCUGCAAAUCUGUAAAUUUAAGCAAAUCUCUUAAACUUUCUCGUAGUUCGGAUUGUGGGCUGCAACUCGCCCACAUGAAGUUGGAAUCGCUAGUAAUCGCCAGUCAGCUAUAUGGCGGUGAAUCCGUUCCCGGGCCU
rnacentral:rRNA from 1 species